AGUGAACGCUGGCGGUAGGCCUAACACAUGCAAGUCGAACGGCAGCACAGUAAGAGCUUGCUCUUACGGGUGGCGAGUGGCGGACGGGUGAGGAAUACAUCGGAAUCUACUUUUUCGUGGGGGAUAACGGAGGGAAACUUACGCUAAUACCGCAUACGACCUACGGGUGAAAGCAGGGGAUCUUCGGACCUUGCGCGAUUGAAUGAGCCGAUGUCGGAUUAGCUAGUUGGCGGGGUAAAGGCCCACCAAGGCGACGAUCCGUAGCUGGUCUGAGAGGAUGAUCAGCCACACUGGAACUGAGACACGGUCCAGACUCCUACGGGAGGCAGCAGUGGGGAAUAUUGGACAAUGGGCGCAAGCCUGAUCCAGCCAUACCGCGUGGGUGAAGAAGGCCUUCGGGUUGUAAAGUCCUUUUGUUGGGAAAGAAAAGCAGCAGGUUAAUACCCCGCUGUUCUGACGGUACCCAAAGAAUAAGCACCGGCUAACUUCGUG
rnacentral:rRNA from 1 species